rnacentral:rRNA from 1 species
GGUCAAGCUACGAAGGGCUUACGGUGGAUACCUAGGCACACAGAGAAGGGCGAAUUCCACAGUG